GACUUAGCUGGCAGGGCUGUGCAGCUUGCUGCCAGCUCCGUUACCUCUGCUCCUUCACAGGUGUUCGUGGUUGGACGGUGGGCGGAGUGCGCACACCUGCAGCUCGUUCAGCAGCAUCUGAGCGUUCUAUAAGAACUGCGUCCGAACAGCGAGAGGACGCCAGAGUGUUUUCGUUGCGGUUUCCCUGUGUCUACGUGAACCCCGAAUGACUCUAGAGUUCCUCGGCUCGACCAGACGUACCUCAGCUCUGGACGCGAGUCACACCAACUCUCUCUCCGGUUCCUCUCGCUGCUCUGGAUCCCUGGACGCCCUCGUUGCUGCUCGGACCUCCUCGCCCCGCUCUCCGUCGACCCGAACGCCUGCUCAAGACAAUCCAGCUGAGUCCUCCUUACCGUCUCCCCGCUCGGUUAACCAAUCCUCGUGGUAAGCUUACGUUUGUAGCUUUAUCUCCCGUUCCUUACCUUCUGUUAAUCACAUAUCCCUUACCUCCUAGACUGGUCUGGUCCCUUGGUCCCGGGAUAAGUUCGAGCCGCCAUCGUCCCCCGCCCCGCAGACUAGCGCUGCGCUCCGUGUGCUCCCGAGUUACUAAUAAAUCCUUGAAUUCUGA